AUGAACGCUGGCGGCGUGCCUAAUCCCUGCCAGUCGAGCGAACGGACGAGAAGCUUGCUUCUCUGAUGUUAGCGGCGGACGGGUGAGUAACACGUGGAUAACCUACCUAUAAGACUGGGAUAACUUCGGGAAACCGUAGCUAAUACCGGAUAAUAUUUUGAACCGCAUGGUUCAAAAGUGAAAGACGGUCUUGCUGUCACUUAUAGAUGGAUCCGCGCUGCAUUAGCUAGUUGGUAAGGUAACGGCUUACCAAGGCAACGAUGCAUAGCCGACCUGAGAGGGUGAUCGGCCACACUGGAACUGAGACACGGUCCAGACUCCUACGGGAGGCAGCAGUAGGGAAUCUUCCGCAAAGGGCGAAAGCCUGACGGAGCAACGCCGCGUGAGUGAUGAAGGUCUUCGGAUCGUAAAACUCUGUUAUUAGGGAAGAACAUAUGUGUAAGUAACUGUGCACAUCUUGACGGUACCUAAUCAGAAAGCCACGGCUAACUACGUG
rnacentral:rRNA from 1 species